rnacentral:rRNA from 1 species
GACGAACGCUGGCGGCGUGCUUAACACAUGCAAGUCGAACGGAAAGGCCCUGCUUUUGUGGGGUGCUCGAGUGGCGAACGGGUGAGUAACACGUGAGUAACCUGCCCUUGACUUUGGGAUAACUUCAGGAAACUGGGGCUAAUACCGGAUAGGAGCUCCUGCUGCAUGGUGGGGGUUGGAAAGGUUCGGCGGUUGGGGAUGGACUCGCGGCUUAGCAGCUUGUUGGUGGGGUAGUGGCUUACCAAGGCUUUGACGGGUAGCCGGCCUGAGAGGGUGACCGGCCACAUUGGGACUGAGAUACGGCCCAGCCUCCUCCGGGAGGCAGCAGUGGGGAAUAUUGCACAAUGGGCGGAAGCCUGAUGCAGCAACGCCGCGUGCGGGAUGACGGCCUUCGGGUUGUAACCCGCUUUCGCCUGUGACGAAGCGUGAGUGACGGUAAUGGGUAAAGAAGCACCGGCUAACUACGUG